AUUAUGUUGAUUUCAUAGCAAACUGGCCUGUGUUCAAUUAAAUGUUUAAACGUUUUUGUUUGGAUGAAAAAAUGUUCUUGUAUUGUAAAUGUGCAAAUAUGAUGUUGCCUUGAUGUAAACAUUGUAAACCUAUGUACCUUUAAGUUCUCCAUUUGUCUUUUUGUAUCCACGCCACAAGGCAAACUUACUUCUUACUGAAUACCUACUUUUAGCUAUCGAGUCACCCUAAUGGAG
rnacentral:misc_RNA from 1 species